CCCGCCGGCCGCAGCCGGUGCUGUUUGGGGAUGUUUCCAGUCCACCCCCAACUCCAUUCACUUCAGCGCCUCCGUUCAUCCGCCCGCUGCCCGCGUGCACAUGCCACACGCUGAGUCCCAGGCCUCGGCGCUCCCCCUCCCCCACUAACCCGGGCGCCCGCCUUCCUCUCCAUGGCCGUCCCUCACUCCCCCGAGGGCUAGGGGACUUCUGAGGGUGAUUCUUGGAGGCAAGGAGCAGCAGGCAUCUCGUAGCUGCUUGCUGCCUCUCUGGGUCGCCUCCGCCGUCCCCGUGACUGGAAGACGCUCGAGCCGGCUGCGGAUCGGACCAGUCCAGUGUCCCUAACUCCACCUUCGCCCUCACCGUCCUGCCCGAGGACAAGGCGGCCCUUGGUGCUGAAGGACAGCUCCCAGCUUAGCUGCUGAGGAAGACUGAGUUUGGAGAGCGUCCUGGAGGGGGCUGCUGAGAAUAGCUGACUGAGAGUUAGAGAAGCUGCGCCGCCCGGAUGGAACCAUGUGCUUGGGCCCUCACAGAGUCACAUGGCACUAGGAAUUCGGACGUACAAACAUCCUGACGCGCCACUAACCUUGUUUGGACUCCACUGACCCUGUGGUCUGCUUGCCUUCCUCACUCCCAGUAACUCACAUUGUAAUUUUUUGUCAACCGUUGCCGGCAAGCAUUUGUUAAUGUUAAGAAUAAC
rnacentral:lncRNA from 1 species